GACGAACGCUGGCGGCGUGCCUAAUACAUGCAAGUUGAGCGAUGAAGAUUGGUGCUUGCACCAAUUUGAAGAGCAGCGAACGGGUGGGUAACGCGUGGGGAAUCUGCCUUUGAGCGGGGGACAACAUUUGGAAACGAAUGCUAAUACCGCAUAAUAACUUUAAACAUAAGUUUUAAGUUUUAAAGAUGCAAUUGCCUCACUCAAAGAUGAUCCCGCGUUGUAUUAGCUAGUUGGUGAGGUAAAGGCUCACCAAGGCGAUGAUACAUAGCCGACCUGAGAGGGUGAUCGGCCACAUUGGGACUGAGACACGGCCCAAACUCCUACGGGAGGCAGCAGUAGGGAAUCUUCGGCAAUGGACGAAAGUCUGACCGAGCAACGCCGCGUGAGUGAAGAAGGUUUUCGGAUCGUAAAACUCUGUUGGUAGAGAAGAACGUUGGUGAGAGUGGAAAGCUCAUCAAGUGACGGUAACUACCCAGAAAGGGACGGCUAACUACGUG
rnacentral:rRNA from 1 species